AGGAGACCAGGGGAACUCCGUGGGUAGCGGGGAAAUGCGUAGAUUUUUGGAAGGACCACCAGUGGCGAAGGCGGCUGUCUGGUCUGUAACUGCCGCUGAGGCUCGAAAGCAUGGGUUGCAACCAGGAUUUGGUACCCCGGUAGUCCAUGCCGUAAACGAUGAGUGCUAGGUGUUGGAGGGUUUCCGCCCUUCAGUGCCGCAGCUAACGCAUUAAGCACUCCGCCUGGGGAGUACGACCGCAAGGUUGAAACUCAAAGGAAUUGACGGGGGCCCGCACAAGCGGUGGAGCAUGUGGUUUAAUUCGAAGCAACGCGAAGAACCUUACCAGGUCUUGACAUCCUUUGACCACUCUAGAGAUAGAGCUUUCCCUUCGGGGACAAAGUGACAGGUGGUGCAUGGUUGUCGUCAGCUCGUGUCGUGAGAUGUUGGGUUAAGUCCCGCAACGAGCGCAACCCUUAUUACUAGUUGCCAGCAUUUAGUUGGGCACUCUAGUGAGACUGCCGGUGACAAACCGGAGGAAGGUGGGGACGACGUCAAAUCAUCAUGCCCCUUAUGACCUGGGCUACACACGUGCUACAAUGGAUGGUACAACGAGUUGCG
rnacentral:rRNA from 2 species